rnacentral:rRNA from 1 species
GUGCCAGCAGCCGCGGUAAUACGAAGGUGGCAAGCGUUACUCGGAAUUACUAGGCGUAAAGGGCAGGUAGGUGGUCUGAUAAGUCUGUUGUGUAAGCUCCCGGCUUAACUGGGAGAGGUCAACGGAAACUAUCAGGCUUGAGUAUAGGAGAGGAUACUGGAAUUCCCGGUGUAGCGGUGAAAUGCGCAGAGAUCGGGAGGAACACCAAUGGCGAAAGCAGGUAUCUGGACUAUUACUGACACUCAGCUGCGAAAGCUAGGGGAGCAAACAGGAUUAGAAACCCUGGUAGUCC